rnacentral:rRNA from 1 species
CCUACGGGGGGCAGCAGUGGGGAAUAUUGGACAAUGGGGGCAACCCUGAUCCAGCCAUGCCGCGUGUGUGAAGAAGGCCCUCGGGUUGUAAAGCACUUUCAGUGAGGAAGAACGCCUGGUGGUUAAUACCCAUCAGGAAAGACAUCACUCACAGAAGAAGCACCGGCUAACUCCGUGCCAGCAGCUGCGGUAAUACGGAGGGUGCGAGCGUUAAUCGGAAUUACUGGGCGUAAAGCGCGCGUAGGUGGCUUGAUAAGCCGGUUGUGAAAGCCCCGGGCUCAACCUGGGAACGGCAUCCGGAACUGUCGAGCUAGAGUGCAGGAGAGGAAGGUAGAAUUCCCGGUGUAGCGGUGAAAUGCGUAGAGAUCGGGAGGAAUACCAGUGGCGAAGGCGGCCUUCUGGACUGACACUGACACUGAGGUGCGAAAGCGUGGGUAGCAAACAGGAUUAGAUACCCUGGUAGUC